rnacentral:snoRNA from 1 species
GCAUAUGGUGACUUUCAUAGAAUCUUGUUCAGCUGAUGAUGGCUGUAGAGACUUGGGGGGGAAAGGCUAA